rnacentral:tRNA from 1 species
GCGAGCAUAGCCAAAUGGAAUAAGGCGGCGGUCUGCAAAACCGUUAAUUGUCCGGUUCGAUUCCGACUGCUCGCUCCA